GACGAACGCUGGCGGCGUGCUUAACACAUGCAAGUCGAACGGUAAGGCCCUUCGGGGUACACGAGUGGCGAACGGGUGAGUAACACGUGGGUGAUCUGCCCUGCACUUCGGGAUAAGCCUGGGAAACUGGGUCUAAUACCGGAUAGGACCCUGGGAUGCAUGUCCUGGGGUGGAAAGCUUUUGCGGUGUGGGAUGGGCCCGCGGCCUAUCAGCUUGUUGGUGGGGUGAUGGCCUACCAGGGCGACGACGGGUAGCCGGCCUGAGAGGGUGACCGGCCACACUGGGACUGAGAUACGGCCCAGACUCCUACGGGAGGCAGCAGUGGGGAAUAUUGCACAAUGGGCGCAAGCCUGAUGCAGCGACGCCGCGUGAGGGAUGACGGCCUUCGGGUUGUAAACCUCUUUCAGCACCGACGAAGCGCAAGUGACGGUAGGUGCAGAAGAAGGACCGGCCAACUACGUGCCAGCCGCCGCAGUAACAC
rnacentral:rRNA from 1 species